rnacentral:rRNA from 1 species
UACAGAGGUCUCAAGCGUUGUUCGGAUCAUUGGGCGUAAAGGGUGCGUAGGCGGCGUGGUAAGUCGGAUGUGAAAUCUCGGAGCUUAACUCCGAAACUGCAUUCGAUACUGCCGUGCUUGAGGACUGGAGAGGAGACUGGAAUUCAUGGUGUAGCAGUGAAAUGCGUAGAGAUCAUGAGGAAGACCAGUGGCGAAGGCGGGUCUCUGGACAGUUCCUGACACUGAGACACGAAGGCCAGGGAGCAAACGGG